AUUGAACGCUGGCGGCAUGCUUUACACAUGCAAGUCGAACGGUAACAGGCUGCAAGGUGCUGAUGAGUGGCGAACGGGUGAGUAAUGCAUCGGAACGUGCCCAGUCGUGGGGGUUAACUACUCGUAAGAGUAGCUAAUACCGCAUACGAUCUAUGGAUGAAAGCGGGGGACCGUAAGGCCUCGUGCGAUUGGAGGGGCCGAUGUCAGAUUAGGUAGUUGGUGGGGUAAAGGCUCACCAAGCCAACGAUCUGUAGCUGGUCUGAGAGGACAACCAGCCACACUGGGACUGAGACACGGCCCAGACUCCUACGGGAGGCAGCAGUGGGGAAUUUUGGACAAUGGGCGCAAGCCUGAUCCAGCAAUGCCGCGUGCAGGAAGAAGGCCUUCGGGUUGUAAACUGCUUUUGUACGGAACGAAACGGCUCUGGUUAAUACCCGGGGCUAAUGACGGUACCGUAAGAAUAAGCACCGGCUAACUACGUG
rnacentral:rRNA from 1 species